ACGGGUGAGUAACGCGUGGGAAUCUACCGUACCCUACGGAAUAGCUCUGGGAAACUGGAAGUAAUACCGUAUACGCCCGGAAGGGGAAAGAUUUAUCGGGGUAUGAUGAGCCCGCGUUGGAUUAGCUAGUUGGUGGGGUAAAGGCCUACCAAGGCGACGAUCCAUAGCUGGUCUGAGAGGAUGAUCAGCCACAUUGGGACUGAGACACGGCCCAAACUCCUACGGGAGGCAGCAGUGGGGAAUAUUGGACAAUGGGCGCAAGCCUGAUCCAGCCAUGCCGCGUGAGUGAUGAAGGUCUUAGGAUUGUAAAGCUCUUUCAACGGUGAAGAUAAUGACGGUAACCGUAGAAGAAGCCCCGGCUAACUUCGUGCCAGCAGCCGCGGUAAUACGAAGGGGGCUAGCGUUGUUUGGAAUUACUGGGCGUAAAGCGCACGUAGGCGGGUAUUUAAGUCAGGGGUGAAAUCCCGCAGCUCAACUGCGGAACUGCCUUUGAUACUGGGUAUCUCGAGUAUGGAAGAGGUAAGUGGAAUUGCGAGUGUAGAGGUGAAAUUCGUAGA
rnacentral:rRNA from 1 species